AUUAUUUGCAGGUUACACCAAUGCUUUCUGGAAGUCUAGAGUCAGCAGACUUGGUUUUCAUGUGUUGUUUACAUACUCUUCUUAUCACCUCAGCACCCAGAGCCUGGAUCGAAGCCAAGGAGAGGAGUUAGUUCUUCCCUCACAGCAAGAUGGGGAGCAUUCAGGAGCAGCAGUGAGAUAAUGGUCUUCUGGAAAGUACAGCAUUAUCUGAUGGUACGUCUCUUGGAGAGGAAUGGAAGGAGACAAGGGAAAAGAGAAUAUGGGCUUUGUAUGAGUAAUGAUAUUUAAAUGAAAGCUAUAAAUGAA